rnacentral:rRNA from 1 species
CCUACGAGUGGCAGCAGUGAGGAAUAUUGGUCCAUGGUCGGGAGACUGAACCAGCCAAGCCGCGGUAGGGAUGAAGGUACAGAGUAUCGUAAACCUCUUUUGUCAGGGAACAAAGGCGGGGACGCGUCCCCGGAUGAGUGUACCUGAAGAAAAAGCAUCGGCUAACUCCGUGCCAGCAGCCGCGGUAAUACGGAGGAUGCGAGCGUUAUCCGGAUUUAUUGGGUGUAAAGGGUGCGCAGGCGGUCUGUUAAGUCAGCGGUCAAAGCCCGGGGCUACACCCCGGCCCGCCGUUGAAACUGGCAGUCUCGAGGUGGAGAGAAGGAUGUGGAAUGCGCGGUGGAGCGGUGAAAUGCAUA